UCAGUAACACGUAGUCAACCUAACUCGUGGACGUGGAUACCUCGGGAAACUGAGAAUAAACCACGAUAGAUCAUAGUGCCUGGAAUGGCUUAUGGUCCAAUACAGUUUACUGCCAUGGGAUGGGACUGCGGCCUAUCAGCUUGUUGGUGAGGUAAUGGCCCACCAAGGCGAUUACAGGUACGGGCUCUGAGAGGAGAAGCCCGGAGAUGGGUACUGAGACACGGACCCAGGCCCUAUGGGGCGCAGCAGGCGAGAAACCUUAGCAAUGUGCGAAAGCACGACUGGGUCAGUCCGAGUGAUUCCUGAUAAAGGAGUCUUUUGCUUGUCCUAAAAGCACAGGUGAAUAAGGGGUG
rnacentral:rRNA from 1 species